AUUGAACGCUGGCGGCAGGCCUAACACAUGCAAGUCGAGCGGAGCGGCGGACGGGUGAGUAAUGCCUAGGAAUCUGCCUGGUAGUGGGGGAUAACGUCCGGAAACGGGCGCUAAUACCGCAUACUAUCAGAUGAGCCUAGGUCGGAUUAGCUAGUUGGUGGGGUAAAGGCCUACCAAGGCGACGAUCCGUAACUGGUCUGAGAGGAUGAUCAGUCACACUGGAACGGAGACACGGUCAGGAGUCCUACGGUAGGCAGCAGUGGGGAUGAUUGGAAAAUGGGCGAAAUCCUGAUCCAGCCAUGCGGCGGGUGGGAAGAAGGUCUUCGGAGUGUAAAGCACUUUAAGUUGGGAGGCGGUACCAAAAGAAUAAGCACCGGCUAACUUCGGGCCAGCAGCAGCGGUAAUAC
rnacentral:rRNA from 1 species